rnacentral:misc_RNA from 1 species
GAUGAAGAACGUAGCGAAAUGCGAUAAGUAAUGUGAAUUGCAGAAUUCAGUGAAUCAUCGAAUCUUUGAACGCACAUUGCGCCCCCUGGUAUUCCGGGGGGCAUGCCUGUUCGAGCGUCAUUUCACCACUCAAGCCUCGCUUGGUAUUGGGCAUCGCGGUCCGCCGCGUGCCUCAAAUCGACCGGCUGGGUCUUCUGUCCCCUAAGCGUUGUGGAAACUAUUCGCUAAAGGGUGUUCGGGAGGCUACGCCGUAAAACAAACCCAUUUCUAAGGUUGACCUCGGAUCAGGUAGGGAUACCCGCUGAACUUAAGCAUAUCAAUAAGCGGAGGA